UGUUGCCCGGCGACGCUCCGGCGCUGGGUCCCCGAGGCCCGGCCCCUCCCCGGGAGGAGGUGGGCUUCGAGUCACGUGACCCGUGCGCUACCGGAGGGGGUGCGGUCGGGGACCCGGCAAGAGGCGGCCGAGAAGAGAGGACCGUGGGGGCGUUCGCGUGGCUCCCAGGCCGGGACUCCACCCCCGCUGGACAGUGGGGGGAAACUGAGGCCUGAGUGGGCCCACAGAGGAUCAUGAAGGUGCUUCUCCUCACAGGGCUGGGGGCCCUGUUCUUUGCCUAUUAUUGGGAUGACAACUUCGACCCAGGUGAGCACCUGGGGUUGAGGGAGGGAGAAACCGGGCCAGCUGUCCUGUCCCAGAGUGACCACCCCGGCUAUGGCCAGCCAGCCUCCAGGGAGCGCGAGUGCUGCUGACAGGGGCCAACGCUGGUGUUGGUGAGGAGCUGGCCUAUCACUACGCGCGUCUGGGCUCCCACCUGGUGCUCACUGCCCACACUGAGGCUCUCCUGCAGAAGGCGGGCUGGACUACCUCGUGCUGAACCACAUCGGCGGCGCCCCGGCCGGCACGCGAGCCCGCAGCCCCCAGGCAACGCGCUGGCUCAUGCAGGUAAACUUUCUGAGCUACGUGCAACUGACGUCGCGGGCGCUGCCCAGCCUGACGGACAGCAAAGGCUCCCUGGUGGUGGUGUCCUCGCUGCUCGGCCGCGUGCCCACGUCGUUCUCCACUCCCUACUCGGCGGCCAAGUUUGCGCUGGACGGCUUCUUCGGCUCCCUGCGGCGGGAGCUGGACGUGCAGGACGUGAACGUGGCCAUCACCAUGUGCGUCCUGGGCCUCCGAGAUCGCGCCUCCGCCGCCGAGGCAGUCAGGGGAGUCACGAGGGUCAAGGCGGCCCCGGGGCCCAAGGCAGCCCUGGCCGUAAUCCGCGGCGGCGCCACGCGCGCGGCCGGCGUCUUCUACCCGUGGCGUUUCCACCUGCUGUGCUUGCUCCGGCGCUGGCUGCCGCGCCCGCGGGCCUGGUUUAUCCGCCAGGAGCUCAACGUCACGGCCGCGGCUGCAGCCUGAGCACCGGGGGGUGCCCCUCCAGUCCCAGACGGCAAUGUUCCUCCCUCCAACUGUCCCUGGAGCCAGAACACUCACAGAGACACCCCUGAGAGGGUGGCCAUAGCCCAAGAUGAAGUCAUCAAGACAGAAAAGCAAAACCCAGAAAAACGACGGGCACCUGGAACCAGUCACAGCUUCAGAGGUGCAGGUGCCCCGUGUUAGGUGCCUUUGUCGGGGACUUGCAAGCCCUCACCUGUUUGGCCAUGAUUGAUGACGUGACUGCUUCCAUUUUGCAGAUGAGGAAACUGAGGCUGAGAGAGGUCACGCCACCCUUGAGCCACCCAUGGACCCCUCUCCAUCUCCUGCCUGCGCCUCUAAGUCCCUGAUUUAUUCUUUCCAUUCAUUCCAUCUGGGAGGAACCCCCCCAACUCCUGCCAGCUUCCCCUAGCUGGGGUCUCUGGUACUCUUCACACCUGCAGGGGCGUCUACACUGUUCGUCUGACUGGUGGCAGGGUCUGAGCUGGAGGAGGAGGGAAAGAGUGUGUUCUGAGCUGGACCCAGCCUCCUGUUUGAGAAUAAAAACUCUUCUUCUCUUGCA
rnacentral:sRNA from 1 species